AGCUCAUCUGCAAGAGAAGAAGAGGGAGAGUUAAUGGUGACCAAAGGGCUGUGAUCCUUCCUUCUCCCCUUGAUGCAGGAGCAGAGCUGGCCCUGGAAAAGUGUGAGAUGCCACCACUGAGAGCCGACUCACAAAGCCAACACAGCAUUCGCCCGCUGGGAUAACACUGGAUGAGCAAUGCUACAGGGCUGGGGACAUUGCUCAGGGAGCUGAAGCUGGGCUCCUUGUCUCCAAGAGGUUUAGUAGUCCCAGGGAUUCAGCAGAGGACAGUGUGCAGCUCAUGCCUGUGUGCAACAGCAGGGUGAGGAGCCGGCGUCUGUGCGAGAGAAGCUCUUCCAGAAGCGGAAAUGGGCACGGAGCACUCACAGCAGGACAUCGCCGAGGUCUCUCCUGAGACCUCAUCCUGCUGGCUGUCACCUGUCCCCGGUCCUCUCCUUUGGGAACCCCCCAGCACGUGCCACCACGCAGCAAGCAGACUUAGGUGGGAUUUUUCCUGCUGAAUAAACAGGAGAGGCUGGGAAUGCUCUUUCUCACUUCUGUCUAAGGCCCGAGUCCUGAUGGUUCAAGCCCUCCUGGAUGGCCCUGAGAAAGAUAAGCUAUCUCCCCCAUCUCCCAGCCUGGGAGCAGCAAACAUUCCUGCUUUGUGGAACAGAACCUCUGGCUGACCUAUAUCUAUUAAAUAACAAAAGGGUAAAAAUACUGGCUUUCAGAUAGUUUCUCCUGAGCAUGGCUGCUGCCCAGGGACUCGGCUCUCCAGACACAUCCACCCUCCCAGGAAGUCUGCUCUUCAUCUGUGCUACUCUCCUCUUCCCUGGAAAUCAUCUCCAUCCCCCUUCUGGCCUGUCCCUCUCACCUUUGCAUCCCACCAUCCCAGUCUUUUGUCCCUGAAAUCCUGCAUCUUGUCUUGGGCCGGUUUAAUGGAUACUGGAAAGGCUCUGUGGAGGUUUGCCGAGAUGGUCGGGGCUGAGGACAUGCAAGGAGAGGCAAAGAUCUGGGCCAGGAGGUGACUGGGGUCUCCAGAGCACGGAUCAAGGAUGACCCCAGCAUGGAGAGGUCCGUGAUGAAGGGCCAGCAGCCCUCCUCCUCCUCUUCCUCACAUGAAACCACAAGCUUACCAGGUUUGUCUCCUGCAGGCAUCUACACAAAAAUCUCUGGCUGGACAGCUGGCAAGACAAUACUCACAACCCUUAUUUGGACUCAGCUUUGGGAAAGAGCUGCAGUUGCCCAGCAGCGCUGGAACCCAGGUUGUGAUCACAAACCGGGAAAAGGGGAGGUGUGGGGUUUUUGUAGCCAUGAAGCUGGACUUGGGGAGAAAAUCCAAUUUGCUCCAGCAGAUAUUGCCCCCCUUCCUUGCCUUGAAACCCCCGAUCUGAACCCAAAGCCUCACGUCCCACAGAAAUUUGGGUUCCUCUGUGUUAGUUGCUGAUCCUAUCCCCUCUCUCCUACAGGGAUUUCUGCUGCAUGGAUGUCCCUGUGUUUCCCACCCCGGGGCUCGCGUGGAUCCGGGAUGCGGGGCCGGGACUCCCGGGGAGCGCGGGGUCACGCCGCCCUCUGCCGGCUCGGGGAGGCGGCACCGGGGCUGUCCCCGGCGGCGACACCCGCCCCGACAGCGCCCGUGUCACCCGGGCACCGCACCCCGCACACUCAAAGGGCUGCGGUUCCCUCGGACAGCAGAACUGGAGGUAUUUUAUUCCCGAAAAAAAAGCACAAACAAUAGAGAUAACGCGUGAGAGACGACAGACUCGAAGCAGGGCUGAGAUUCCCAAUGGAAGAAAAAUAAAUGACACAAAUAAGGAAAAAAUGGUUUGAUGGAAUGAGGGACGUGGAGACCGGACUCUUCCCAGAGUGUGUAGUGCUUCCCAGGACCAAACACCCGGCUGGGCACAGGCAGCAUGAGCUGAGUGCUCAGCUCUUGACAGGGGUGGACGCAGCCUUCAUGGUCUUCUUCAGGUGGUGGUAGUUGGGCAGGAUCUUCAUUAGGAAAUCCAGCUGCAGCGUCUGGGGCUGGAAAGGGAGGCAGGGGAGGUGAGAGAACAGCCAGAGGGGACAGGAGCAGCCCGAGGGGACAGGAGGUGGCAGCAUGUCCCCACGCACCUGUGGCCGCUCGGUCUGCACGCGCCGCAGGCAGUCGGCCCCGUAGAUGACGGUGUUUUCGGGGAUCACCUCGUAGGUGUUCACGUUGCAGCAGGCCCCGAUGAUACAGCCGCUCGUCAGGAUCACGUUCCUGCCAACAAACGCUGCCAGGGAGAAGGGAGAGAGGAGUCCCUGUGAGAGCUGUCCCCACAGCAUUUAUAGGAGAAGAAUCUCAGCAGGGCCAAAGGCCCCAAGCUGAGAAUUACCUUUGGAUUCAAUGACGUUGUUGUCUCCUACCUUCAUCGCUUGGGAAUCUACAGGUCUGUGUUAAGUAAAACUGUAAAAUGCUUUGCUUUUUUUCAGCAGGUGAAAAACCCUGAUGCCCUUUUCAAACCACCACCCAAGCCCUGGGCUAUCUGAACCCUGACAGAGUCCCAGAGAUGCCUCUCCCAGGAGGGAUCCAGGAGCACGGUGUGCUGGAUGGUUUGUCACUGCACAGCGAGGAUACAGCACCCGACCUCAAAAACAUUGUUGGUGCCAAUUACCAUGGGCUUGGGCUCCACAUCUUCGCUCUCUGGGGUUAUAUUUUCUGGGUACCUGUAAGAAGGAAGAACAGAUUUCCACGUCUGAGAUCACAAUGACAGUGCUCUGUGGGGCAGCUCAACUUCGUGACAGACUGAAGCCACAAAUAUCCCACCCAGCUGAGCUGGACUGUCAGAAUUUUGAGACUGCUUAGAAUUAGGAUUCUCUGUCAGCUUGAGAAGGAUUCACAGGUGGACUUAGCAACCAGUAUCUGAAGGGGGCCUACAAGGAAACUGGAAACGGACUCUGUCAGGAACUGGAGUGACAGAACAAGAAGUAGUGGGCAGAGACUUAAAGAGGGGAAAAUUAGGUUAGAUAUACAUAAGAAAAUAUUUACUGUGAUGGGGAUAAGAUACUGGAAUAGGUUGCCCAAGGCAAUACUGGCUGCAUCAACCCUGGAAGUGUCCAAGGCCAGGUUGGACAGGGUUUGGAGCAACCUGGGAUAGAGGAAGGCGUCCCUGCCCAUGGCAGGGGCGUGGUAUGAAAUGAUAUUUAAGGUCCCUUCAAACAUUAAACAUUUGUGAUUCUGUGACUUCUCCCCAAGCCACAGUGCCACACGCGUACACAAACCACGAAGUUUGGUGGUUUCCUUUAUAAUAAACUCCACCUCCCCAGGGUUUUUAAGCCCCCAGCGGGUGUCCCACGGACCCGUUGAUGAUGAGCGCCUGCUCCUCGAUCAGGUUCCCCUCUCCGAUGACGAUGGGCCCCGCCUCGGCGAUGAUGCGGGCCUUGGGAUGGAUCACGGUCCGGGGUCCUGCGGGGACAGCCCGGUGUCAGCCCGUGCCCGCACCGCCGGGGGCCGGACCGGGCGGGGGACAGGGCCCUUACCGAUUGUCACGUCCCCGCGGAUCUCGCUCUCCACGCACACCACGGCGCCCGGCGCGAUCUUCACGCUGCGGGGAGCGAUGGGGCGGUCACGGCGGGUGAUCGUGGGAGGGAUCGGGGGAGAACCGGGAGGGAUCGAGGGGGGGGAAAGGGACUCACCUCUUCUGCACCUUCUCCGCCAUGGCCGCGGCAGCGGCGCCUGC